rnacentral:rRNA from 1 species
UACGUAGGGGGCAAGCGUUGUCCGGAAUUAUUGGGCGUAAAGAGCGUGUAGGCGGCUCGGUAAGUCCGCUGUGAAAGUCCAGGGCUCAACCCUGGAAUGCCGGUGGAAACUGUCGAGCUAGAGUCCGGAAGAGGCGAGUGGAAUUCCUGGUGUAGCGGUGAAAUGCGCAGAUAUCAGGAGGAACACCAAUGGCGAAGGCAGCUCGCUGGGACGGUACUGACGCUGAGACGCGAAAGCGUGGGGAGCAAACAGG